UUCCAGGCCAGUCUGGGUUCCAGAGAAAGAGUUUUGUCUUCAGAAGCAAAAGAGGUGAGAGAGUGGUCUGUUAGAAUAGCUUAGUCAGUAAACUAACAAACAAACAAAAACAACCUAGUAUAGUAGUGCAAACUUGUAAUCCCAGCACUGGAUCUGGAACUAGCCUACCCUACUUGAUGAGUUCCAGCCAUGAGAGGCCCUUUCUCAGAAAAGAAAAAAGUGGGUGGAGUCAAGGAACAACACCCAGAAUUGUUCUCUGGCCUCCCCAGAUAUGAACAUACACAACAUAAAUUCAGACACAGAGAGGGAGAGGAGGAGAGAAGAGGGGGAGUGUCUAGAGACAUGUCUCUGCCCAGCGCUACCAAAAAGUCUUCUGUGCCCAACUCCCUCUUAGGUACAGCUCCUUUUUGACAAUGAGGUUCUCCCUGAUCACAUGACAAUGAAGCAGCUAUGGCUUUCCCGCUGGUUCGGCAAGCCAUCUCCUUUGCUUCUACAAUACAGUGUGAAAGAGAAGAGGAGGUAGGGGCCAGGCUUGCUUCCACCCCCUUCCCACCCCUCCCAGAUAUUUAUGUGAAAUUAACUGCGGUUUUAUUUUUUGAAAUAAAUGCUUUUAAAAAGC
rnacentral:lncRNA from 1 species